rnacentral:rRNA from 1 species
UACGGGGGGAGCAAGCGUUGUUCGGAUUUACUGGGCGUAAAGGGCGCGUAGGCGGCCACCGCAAGUCAAUUGUGAAAUCUCCGGGCUCAACCCGGAACGGUCAACUGAUACUGCGGGGCUAGAGUGCAGAAGGGGCAACUGGAAUUCUCGGUGUAGCGGUGAAAUGCUUAGAUAUGACAUAGAACACCCAUUGCGAAGGCAGCUCGCUACACUAUUAUUGACGCUGAGGCACGAAAGCGUGGGGAUCAAACAGG